UUGAAGCCCAGCCGCGUGAUUGGCCCAGGAGCACUGGCGAAAAUGGGUCCCCCUUGAAGCAUGAUGUUUCAAAGGUGGUCCUAUGUGUUUAGAUGGUCCAAGGCAGCUGACUGCAGAAACCCAAGGAGCCCCAAGGCUAGUGCUGGCUCACUAGUGGUGGGCAGAGUCAGGGUCCAGAAGACUCUGGUGCAGUUGCCAGCCCAAUGUCAUCAGAGAGCAGACAUCAAAACUUCAGAUAUAAGAAGAAUUCUAGGCUAAAAAUACCUUGAAGUCACUGGCCUGCAUGUGACAAUCAAAGCCUUGGAUGGAUGUGACACUUCAGGGAGACAAUAGAGUGGGAAACAGACUUGGAAUUGAGUCUGCCAAGAACUUCAGGAUCCAUUCAUUUAUAGAUAUCCCAGGAUCAGAGGCAACUGAAGUUAAGGUUGAUACAUAAGUUCUGAUUCUUCUCAUCUGGGUAGAAAAGAAUACAAACGUUUUUAGAGUACAUGAAGGUGAACGUUUAUUUGGAAAGUUGAAUUUCUUGUAUACUGAAAAUAUUUUUUUAAACCAUACAUAUUCAUAAGUGUAAUACAAACACCACCUACAAUACAAACACAUUUUUAGCAAGUUCUACUAUGAAUAUUAAUCUAAGCCAACAGAAAAUCAGGUAAACCAGUUUCUACAUACCUUGUAUCUGUUUUGGUGUUGUAAUCAAACAAUUUAAGAUACAAACAAAGAAAGCUUUGGCUCAACCCUACUUAUUUCACUAUGGGCACACUAGGAUAUAUACGACCACAGAUUACAAACCCAAUCCCUUUAUGAUCAAUGUAAAAUUGUUACAAGAAUCAUAUCUUAAUGACAUGUAAACAUUUUUAGGGUUUCAAUUGGCAAUUGUGUUUUAAAUGCUUAGAAAAUCACACCAACACUUCUCAUUUUUGUUCUCUCUUGAGCUCAUCUCUUCCAUGAAUAUAAAGUAGGAAAAAUAUUAUUUGAGAAUUCCAGCAUAAUUUCAUUGUGCUUUACACUUUUAUAAACAUGGAUACAUCUAAAACAUCAGAUGCCUUUACACCAACAGAAUAAAUCCCCCAAAUUCACAUUUUCUUAUAAAUACACAUGCAAAAUUAGUGAAAAACACUUUUGUAUAGCAAAGACCCUGCUUAAUUAUCUUCGGAUUAAUAAUUUUUGAUGGCAUGUGCAAAUCAUACUGCUCAUUGAACAGUAGAUUUAUUUCCUGCAGAUUUGUUU